rnacentral:rRNA from 1 species
GAAUAGGCCCAAGCGACUGUUUACCAAAAACAGUAGGUUUCUGCUAAGUCGCAAGACGCUGUAUAGGAGCUGACGCCUGCCCGGUGCUGGAAGGUUAAGGGGAUCUGUUAGAGCAAUCGAAGCAGUGAACUUAAGCCCCAGGAAACGGCGGCCGUAACUAUAACGGUCCUAAGGUAGCGAAAUUCCUUGUCGGGUAAGUUCCGACCCGCACGAAAGGCGUAACGAUUUGGGCACUGUCUCAACAACAGACGCGGUGAAAUUGUAAUUCCGGUGAAGAUGCCGGAUACCUGCGACAGGACGGAAAGACCCCAUGGAGCUUUACUGUAGCUUGACAUUGGGUCUUGGUACUACAUGUACAGGAUAGGUGGGAGGCUUUGA